UGUCUGAAACUGAGGGAAGUACGGUGAAAAUCCGUCGCAGCAGUCACUGCCGUAUAGUCGGAUCGCUCGUCAGACA
rnacentral:ncRNA from 1 species